GAUGAGCGCUGGCGGCGUGCCUAAUACAUGCAAGUCGAGCGAACGGACGAGAAGCUUGCUUCUCUGAUGUUAGCGGCGGACGGGUGAGUAACACGUGGAUAACCUACCUAUAAGACUGGGAUAAUUUCGGGAAACCGGAGCUAAUACCGGAUGAUAUUUUGAACCGCAUGGUUCAAAAGUUAAAGACGGUCUUGCUGUCACUUAUAGAUGGAUCCGCGCUGCAUUAGCUAGUUGGUAAGGUAACGGCUUACCAAGGCAACGAUGCAUAGCCGACCUGAGAGGGUGAUCGGCCACACUGGAACUGAGACACGGUCCAGACUCCUACGGGAGGCAGCAGUAGGGAAUCUUCCGCAAUGGGCGAAAGCCUGACGGAGCAACGCCGCGUGAGUGAUGAAGGUCUUCGGAUCGUAAAACUCUGUUAUUAGGGAAGAACAUAUGUGUAAGUAACUGUGCACAUCUUGACGGUACCUAAUCAGAAAGCCACGGCUAACUACGUG
rnacentral:rRNA from 1 species